AUUUUUCUAAGAGAUAGCUUAUUAUUUUUCUCUCUCUUCUUUUUCCUCUCCUCCUUUUCCUCACUUCUUACUUAGCUCUUUAGAAAUGCAAUUAUAGCCUCUUAUCUCCCAUUUACCAGGCACUCCUUACAGGGCAAGUUCAUCUCCAGAGCAGAACCCUCACCCAUCAGGAGGUUGCCUUGGGAGAUAACAGUUGAUUGACAACCCAGCAUAUGCCUGCUAGAGUUUUUGGCUGCAUUUACAGCCUGUUUCUGCCCAUGAAGAAGCCAACUCGAAUGCCCGGUAGAUAAGGCACCAAAGUAAGUACGCAGCCCUCUUACCUGCUCCCUUCCAUCUCCCAUAGGUCCCCCCUUUAAAAGGGCCCACUCUGUGCUCCAAAAGGGAAGCAGUACCCUUAUGGUAGGAACCUGUGCUUCUUCCCCAAAGGUAGCUUUGGAAAAAAAAAAAAAAAGUCAUUUUCUUUAUACCAGACCUCACUCUUUUUAACUGGACUCUGCAAGUGGCAAGGGACUAAACCUGCAUUUUGGUUCCAACUACAGAGUAGGUAUAUACACUUAUGGGGUAGGUGAGAUAUUCUGAUACAGGCAUACAGUGUGUAAUCAUCACAAAACAGGGUAUCCAUCACCUCAACUAUUUAACUUUCGUGUUACAGACAAUCCAAUUAUACUCUUUUAGUUAUUUUUAAAUGUACAAUUAAAUUAUUAUUGACUAUAGUCACCCUGUUGUGAUAUCAAACACUAGAUCUAAUUUAUUCUAUCUUUGUACCCAGUGACCCAACAAUUAUCUGAUAAUCUCCACUUCCUCUGUUCAACAGGACUGCCCUGUCAUGCUGAGACCCUGUAGCUGGUCAACUCUACUCCAUGCCACUGUGCAAUUUUACCCUCAUAAGUUGGGGCCUAUGCAUAUUAAGUGCUACGUGUAUUUUUUCCUAAGAUUGUUUAUUCCAAUUUCACUUAUUACUAUAAUUAUAUAUGCUAAUUAGCUGUUUAAUAAAGUGAUGAAAUAUGAGUACAAAAAAGGAGAGUUGCUUCCACAAAAACUAAUAAAAAUUAUUUUGAAGUCUUUUCAAUAUAAACUGUAUCACUGUUGAUUACAUGUGGGUAAGACAACGACAACAAACCCCAACUGGCAUGGGGAGGAAUGUUCCGUAGGAUUCUACAUCUAUAUUGCUGGGGCGGUGUUAAGUUGUCAUUCAGCCUGAAGAAAUAAUAGUUCUAAAAUUGUAGAUGUAUUAUGAGUGUGGCUUAUGAAAAAAAAGUGGAUCCUCAAUCUGGGAACCCACAUUCAAAAAUGGAUCUGGUCUCCUAUAAAAAAUUAACAAUUAAAUAGCUGGGUGAAUAAUAAAAUAUAAAGGUAUGUAAGCAUCACUUUUUUAUGACUUUCCAAUUUCUCGUCUCUAAUAAUCAGUCAGCAAGUAGACUUGAUUGAAUCAGGUAAGAGGACAUAACUUUUUAUCUACUUGUAUUGUGGCCCUUCCAGGCCUCCACGUGAGUGUCAGUGGCCAUGGAGAAGCAAGAUUGACAAGCUGUUCAGCUUCAGAAGCAUCUACUCCUAGGCCUUCACUGUUGAAGGCAUUCCCUAGUAACCACUUUCAUAGUCGUCCCUUUCUUUUGCUCA
rnacentral:lncRNA from 10 species